CCUACGGGAGGCUGCAGUGGGGAAUAUUGGACAAUGGGCGAAAGCCUGAUCCAGCCAUGCCGCGUGUGUGAAGAAGGCCUUCGGGUUGUAAAGCACUUUCAGUGGGGAAGAAAGCCUUGGGACUAAUACCCUCGAGGAAGGACAUCACCCACAGAAGAAGCACCGGCUAACUCCGUGCCAGCAGCCGCGGUAAUACGGAGGGUGCGAGCGUUAAUCGGAAUUACUGGGCGUAAAGCGCGCGUAGGCGGUCUGAUAAGCCGGUUGUGAAAGCCCCGGGCUCAACCUGGGAACGGCAUCCGGAACUGUCAGGCUAGAGUGCAGGAGAGGAAGGUAGAAUUCCCGGUGUAGCGGUGAAAUGCGUAGAGAUCGGGAGGAAUACCAGUGGCGAAGGCGGCCUUCUGGACUGACACUGACGCUGAGGUGCGAAAGCGUGGGUAGCAAACAGGAUUAGAUACCCGAGUAGUC
rnacentral:rRNA from 1 species